rnacentral:pre_miRNA from 1 species
AUUCUGCAGGCUGGCUGGUCCCCAGGCUAGGCUGGGUGAGUUAUCUCUUCGAGAGGCUCACUCUCAAGCAUGACUAGGAGC